AUACUACUCCCUCCGUCCGAAAAUAUUUGUCAUCAAAAUGGACAAAAAUGAUGUAUCUAGAACUAAAGUACAUCUAGAUACAUCCCCUUUUAUUCAUUUUGAGGACAAGUAUUUUCGGACGGAGGGAGUACUAC
rnacentral:pre_miRNA from 1 species